GAUGAACGCUAGCGGCAGGCCUAAUACAUGCAAGUCGUACGGCAACACAGUUGCGAGCAAUCGCAACCGGUGGCGAGUGGCGCACGGGUGAGUAACGCGUAUGUAACCUACCCUUCUCCGGGACAUAACUCCGCGAAAGCGGUGCUAAUAUCCCAUACCAACUCAUCAAGACAUCUUCUUGAGUUGAAAGCAGCAAUGCGGUGAAGGAUGGGCAUGCGUCCCAUUAGCUGGUUGGUGAGGUAAUGGCCCACCAAGGCUACGAUGGGUAGGGGUUCUGAGAGGAAGCCCCCCACACUGGUACUGAGACACGGACCAGACUCCUACGGGAGGCAGCAGUAAGGAAUAUUGGGCAAUGGUCGAAAGACUGACCCAGCCAUGCCGCGUGCAGGAUGAAGGCCCUAUGGGUUGUAACUGCUUUUAGCCGGGAAUAACACCCGUUUUAUAACGGGCCCGAAGGUACCGGCUGAAUAAGCAUCGGCUAACUCCGUGCCAGCACG
rnacentral:rRNA from 1 species